ACUAAAACGGCACUUUUACGGUUUGGAUCCAUAUGAAAUUUCCAACAAAGAGUCGGCAAACAGUGGGAACAGUAAUCCGGACAAAGCUGUUUCUCCUCGUUUGACUUGCUGGUGUGUUUACAUUUCCGAAUCUGUCAACAUGGCCACCACGUCUCAGAAUGCAAUACGACGCCCAAGCCCUAGCCUAUUAGGCCUAAUCUCUGACAUAUUAAGGCUUAAUCUCUGACAGGCCUUAAUAUUCACCUUCCAGGGGGGAACAACCCCAUCAUCCUAGUCUCUCGAGUGAUUUGGGUGUUGUUCAUAUAAAAGCAUAUGCGUGUAUCUCCCGCUGUGGUGCAGCUCUUCUCUCAAGCAGAUAUUCAACUGACUAUAAGUAACUUGGGA